UACAGAGGGUGCAAGCGUUAAUCGGAAUUACUGGGCGUAAAGCGUGCGUAGACGGUUACAUAAGUCGGGUGUGAAAGCCCCGGGCUCAACCUGGGAAUUGCAUUCGAGACUGCGUAGCUAGGGUGCGGAAGAGGGAAGCGGAAUUUCCGGUGUAGCGAUGAAAUGCGUAGAUAUCGGAAGGAACACCAGUGGCGAAAGCGGCUUCCUGGUCCAGCACCGACGUUCAGGCACGAAAGCGUGGGGAGCAAACAGG
rnacentral:rRNA from 1 species